rnacentral:tRNA from 1 species
UGUCAAAGGAUGGGAAUCGAACCCACGAACUUCCGCUUACCGGGCAGAUGCCAUGACCACUAGGCUACCCUGGAC